rnacentral:misc_RNA from 1 species
GAUGAAGAACGUAGCGAAAUGCGAUAAGUAAUGUGAAUUGCAGAAUUCAGUGAAUCAUCGAAUCUUUGAACGCACAUUGCGCCCGCUGGUAUUCCGGCGGGCAUGCCUGUUCGAGCGUCAUUUCAACCCUCAAGCCCCCGGGUUUGGUGUUGGGGAUCGGCUCUGCCCUCUGGGCGGUGCCGCCCCCGAAAUACAUUGGCGGUCUCGCUGCAGCCUCCAUUGCGUAGUAGCUAACACCUCGCAACUGGAACGCGGCGCGGCCAUGCCGUAAAACCCCAACUUCUGAAUGUUGACCUCGGAUCAGGUAGGAAUACCCGCUGAACUUAAGCAUAUCAAUAAGCGGAGGA